UCAACAAUUCAUUUGAAAGAAGCAUGUGCAAGAUUUGGCGGGCACUUGUUUGAGUUGUUUCUCUCUUAUUUAAAUAAAUAAAUUUUGUAAAGUCAAAAUGGAAGAAACGUACCCCGUAGAGAGCUAUCCUUACGUUUCGCAGUCAUUCAAAUGUAAUGAUUACUUCGUGGAAUAUAAAAAAGUCUUGAGUGAAACACUGUACAAGCAAGAAGCCGAACUUGAAACCAAAAGCACCACGUUAGAAAAAAUUGCUUGUAUGAUGGGUAUAAGUCUCAGCGAAUGCACAGAUUUGGAGCAAAAAUGCAGUAUAUUACAGCUUGAAAAUGUGAAUGACCCUGUAGACCCAUUGGAACUCAAACUCAGAUCAGAAGCCAUGAGUGCAGAUGAUAAGCUGGAGAAAGCUACCAGAACACUGGCAACUGCCGUUGAAUUAAAGGCUAUUAAGGCACAUCCAUUGCAAUAUGAGAAGAAACUCAGGGAUCUAAAAAAAAUGUCAAUACCCACAUUUAAACAAGAGCCCAACCCAUCUUCUGAAGUCAAAUUACCCAAAGAAUUUGUUAUGAUUGCCAGAGUGUUUAGGCCUUUCAGAAGUCACAUGGGCUCACACACAGUUGCACAUGCACAGGACUUUAUGUUACUUGGUUCCCAAAAUUUAGUUGACUUCAGAGAUAAAAUAAAGUGCAUGAAUGACGAUCUACCGGUUGGGGAAGCAGGACCGAUAAAGGAUCACAUCAAGUCGGGAAUGUUCUUUUUCGGGAAUACAUUCUAUUAUGAUGGCCGAGUCCUUACGAAUAUCAAUUAUGGUGAGGUGAUAGAACGCUGGGCUAAAGAGAAACCAGAAAUGAAGUUGGGUCCAUUUGAGAAUCGAGACAUGGCAGAAUGCAAGAUUGCCGAUCUAGAGAUUCGCCUCGGCUUCCCUUACGUCUUUAUGCAUCUUGGCAGUUGCGAACAUCUCGUCACUUUUUUGGAUGCAAGGCUAAUGGACCCAGAAGAUUUACAAAACCCUGACGAAUAUCCACUCGUCGUGGAAACGGAAAAUGAAGUCAUGUACUGUUUUGCGUGCGAUGUGCAUGACUCUAGCUAUUACGUUGACGACGAUCAGAUGCCCACAAAACCGGUGAACUUGUGUGAACAGUGUUUUGAAGUAUUUUACAAGAGGAACGGUGUCAUUCCGCCCAGCACUGAAGAAGUCUAUUAUUGCAAAUUCCCCGGAAAAGCAACAAUCGACGAAAAAUCUGAGGAAGUCUUAGAGUCUUCUGAUUAAUGUCAUCGCUUUGCUACAUUAUUCGAAACUUGUCUAUUCGAAAUGUGCUCCAACGAAAUUUUGUAUUAUUUCACUGCCCUUUCUGCCAUGGCGACCAAAACGGAGUUUGGCGGUCCGGAUGGUAGACGAGGAAGCACGCUAGCAUCGACAACUCUCAAA
rnacentral:misc_RNA from 1 species